ensembl:lncRNA
ACUCACACUCACCCUCACACAAGCAUACACUCCAUGGCUGGAUGUUAUCAAAAGACACCAUGGAUUGAUGUGGAGAGUGUGGCCCCACACCCCAUCAGCCUCAUCUCUGACCUGUGAUGGCUACACAAGGAAAUAGACCCCAAGCAAGUCCAGCCAGGCCCUCUGGGCAGACAGAGUUCUGUUCUAGAAUGAGCAGGCAGGAGAAGCCAGUGCUGAGAUGAACCCAGAAAGAGGAGCUCUCACUGUAACCAAAAGUGGGGUCCAGCUGCUCACUGCAUGAAAGCUAAUCAAGAGGCCAGCACAGAUGCAGAUGUGGGGGCAGCAGUUCACGAUGUCGGGAGAAAGCUGCCUUGGAUGGCGCCUGGUCAGGACCUUUCUGAGUCAGUCUCCGCAGACUCUACAUCACCAGCAGAUCAGCUUCGGCGGGAAUCCUGGGGCAGUAAACUGCAGUGAGCUCAACAUCAGGAACUUCAAGCAGCAAGGGACACUCACUGGUCCAGCGUCCUCUGCGUCCUGCUUCUCCUGCAUCAUGUGACCUCACAUGCCACAAACUGAAGCCCACAGCUCACAGGGGAUGGAGCAGGCAUGGUUUCAGCCUCUCUGACCCUAAAGUCACUGAUGCACCACUUCCCUCCCCAGGUGGGGAAGGAGGGACUGGACAUUGUGGGUCCAUUGGUCUAUGAGGACAAGGGGCCAGGGCUCCUGGAGAGAUAGCUAACUCUGGGGCUGGAGCAGGAAACACACAGGUGAGCGGGGAGCCCCUGGUGGUGUCAGAGAUGAAGGAAGUGCAAGAUACAUGCACACACACACAGGCCCAUGUACAUAAUCACAGGACAGCACAAAUGGUCCACUGGAAAGAGCUCCCAUGGCCAAACUGGCAGAAUCUGAACAAGGAACGUAAACUCGUAUUGUCUUGUAACUCAAAGUUUGAAAUAAACACCCAUGAAUUUAUACUGAUAUUGAAUAAAUAAAUGGUGAAGGAUAUUCAAAUCUCC